AUACCACCACCACCAGGUUUCAUAGAUGGGAUAAGGUUCUUAUGCUAGAAUGCAGUGUUUUCUCCAAACAUAUUGCCAUCUACAAAACAAUUUAUCAAGGUGGUCCUGGCUUGUCCACAUGAUCUUUAGCAAAUGCAGCUAGGCAGCAGUGUUAUUUUUGCAGUGACUUUCUCCUUGCAAACCUGCCAUGCACACAGUUGUUGUUCAGUAUUCUCUUUAUAGUAGACUCAUGAACAUUAAAAUUAGCCAAUAUGAGAGAGGACUUUGGUUGCUUAGAAGUUACCCUGGGCUCCUUUGUGACCUUGAGGACUAUUACAUGUCUUGCUCUUGGAGUGAUCUUUGUUGGUCGACCACUCCUGGGGAGUGUAAGAAUGGUCUUUGUAGCUGUCGCUGAAAAAAUGUAUGGGUCUUUUCUUUCUUUAAAGUAUUUAUUUGUUAUGUUGUUGUUAUUACAAUAAUGCAAUGUAAAUAUUAAUAAUAAUUUGCCUAUGUGAGUUUUGUUUUACAAGGGUUGCAGAAAUAGUGACACCUACAGGUUAAACUAGUGAUCUGCAUUUAAUUUAAGUUACUGUGGUCAUGUGAUUAGCCUAACUAAUAGCAGUGCAAAAAUGUGCAUGCAGUUUUUGGUGCUACAGUGUACACGGAGUGAGGUGCUAAAGAAGAGAAUAACUAAACAGUAAAGCGUUACAGCUACUCCUAGAUAUCUGGUUGGAAGGCGCACACGUUUUUCACGGUGUUUGAUGGUGUUUGACAGUGAUUGAAUGUGCUUAAGUUGUGAAGGAAUGCAAUAAAAGAAACGACAAACAUCAGUUGAAGCGUACGUUUUAAUCUGACCAGAAGAAUAGGUUUGGGAGCAGCUACAGUCUUGAAUUUCUUUUCCAGCCUGGUGAGUAUCAACAACCCUUUUCCUAAGGUCCUCAGAAAUAUCCUUUGUUCAUGCAAUGAUACACUUCCCCAAACAUGAAGAUCUGACUUGAUAUAUCCUUGUUUUUUGGGUAUAAUAUGUUACAAAGUAACACAUUACUAUAUUCUUAUUACUUUUUCUGAUAAUGUGUUAAUGUAACACAUUACAUUUUAAAUGUAUGUCAUUUGAUUACAGUUACUGAUGUCAAUAAAAUUAUGUUACUUGUGUUAGAAAUUUAUUGUUAAAAAAAACAAAAUUAAGUAAACGCAUUUUUAAAAUAAAUCACAUUUUGCCCAGCUGCCAGGGGCAUAACCUGAACCCAUAGCUUAGUUGUGCCUCCGCUUGGCUAGUGACACCAAACUAGUCUAGUUAGAAAAGACUAGUAGUCCUACAAACAGUGACAUCACCCGAGGCAAGUUUUAUGAUAAAUACAACUUUUUCUGAUCAUGUCAUACAUUGAUGUGCACUAAAAUUACUUUACGAACUACGAAUUUCACUUUGUAGUGUGUUUUUGAAAGUAAAGUAAUUAGUAAUCUGAUUACUUUUUAUAUGCCGUAAUCAGUAAUGUGAAUUAAUAACAAUUAAUUUUAAAGUAGUAAUUAGUAAUCUGUAGUGGAUUCCUUUUUUUGAGUAACUUACCCAACACUGUUCCUUAAAUUAAACAGGGUGCUCACUCACACCUGAUUGUCAUCCCACUGAUUGAAAAAACCUGACUGUAAUUUCACCUUCAAAUUAACUGCUAAUCCUAGAGGUUCAGAUACUUUUUGCCAAUCACAGAUGUGUAAUUUUCCUCAGGUAUACUACUGUUGUCUCAAUUGGGUUCUCUUUAUCUACUUUUAGGACUUGUGUGAAAAUCUGAUGUUUUAGGUUAUAUUUAUGCAUACGCAUCCAGGAGGAGGAUGAGUGGACGACUGCGUUUAGCACCAUCGCCUGUUGCAACAUCAGCCUUAUGUAAAGGCCGAGAAGUGUGAGUUCCACCAACACACGAUCUCCUUCCUAGGAUACAUCAUCAGCCAGAAGGGGGUCACCAUGGACCAGCGCAAGAUCCAAGCGGUGCUGAAAUGGCCCACGCCCCGAACCGUCAGGGAGUUGCAACGGUUCCUUGGCUUCGUGAACUUUUACCGACGGUUCAUUCGAGACUUCAGUAAGAUAGCACAACCCCUGAGAUCCCUCUUCGUGGCAAGCCCAGGUGGCUCCUUUGGACCCCAGCCGCCCAGGAGGCGCUGGACAUGCUCAAGCGGGCCUUCACCACGGUUCCCAUCCUUAGACACCCAGAUCCCUCCAGACCCUUCGUCAUGGAGGUUGAUGCCUCUGAGGCAGGGGUAAGGGCCAUUCUCUGACAGGCUCGGAAUUAAGCCCAAGCUGCACCCCAUAGCGUUCUUCUCCCGCAAGUUGCCAGCAGAAUGCAAUUAUGAUGUGGGGAACCGAGAACUCCAGGCAGUUAAACUGGCCCUGGAGGAGUGGAGGCACUGGUUGGAGGGUGCCACCCACCCGUUCGUUAUCUAUACAGACCAUAAAAACCUUGAAUACCUGACGACGGCCAAACAUCUCAUGCCCCGCCAGACCCGCUGGCCCUGUUAUUCUCCAGGUUCCAGUUUACCUGAUCAUAUAGUCCAGGAGCAAAGAACACUAUGGCCGAUGCUCUGUCACAAAUCCACUGCCCUGAGAGCCGAGCGGACCACAGAGAUUAUAUCCUGAACCUGCUGUAUUGAUAGCGCCAUAGGGUGGACUCUGGACCAGGCCUUAGCACGCUUCCCCAGGUCACGAAUCCCGGCCGCAUGUGCCCCCAGCAAGCAAUUUGUCCUGAAGCGAUACCGACUGGAGCUCGUCACCUGGGCCCACACGGCACUAGCGACGGGCCACCCGGGAAUGCAUCACACCCACCGACUACUGGCCGAGAAAUACUGGUGGCCCCACGUGUCUAGGGAAGUAUAGCGCGUCGUAUCCUCGUGCUCCACAUGCGCCCAGGCUAAGGUACCGCAUACUCUCCCAGCCAUUAAGCUGGUACCUAUCCCCGUACGGCCAUGGUCCUACUUGGCCCUAGACUUCAUCACUGACUUGCCGGAGUUGCAGGGGGAAACCGCAGUACUAGUGAUCAUCGAUUGUUUUUCAAAGUCUCUGCGCCUCAUUCCACUGCCCGCCAUCCCGUCUGCCUUUACCACGGCCGAACUGCUAUUCCAACAUGUGUUCAGAUACUUCGGUAUCCCGGAAGAGAUCAUAAGUGAUAGGGGGCCAUAAUUCACGUCUCAAGUCUGGACCAGCUUCAUGGAGAAGAUGGGUGUCACCGUUAAUCUCACCUCCGGUUACCACCCCCAGGCCAACAGAUAGGUAGAACGGGCUAACCAAGAAGUUGCUAGAUUCUUCCAAACAUUUUGUGCCACCAACCCGGAGGACUGGGGCCAAUUCCUCCCAUGGGCGGAGUACGCACAGAACCCCUUGCAGUGCUGGAUCCUGUCCCAGGACAUUCUGGACCCAAACCUGCGCAGGGACUUCCAUGCCACUCACCCAACUAAACCGAGACCACAGAGGAGAGGGAGGCCUCGGAAGGAUUCGGCUCCCGGAGUUAAUCCUUUGUGGGGGGGCUCUGUCACGUCGCGGUGUACUCGCAACUACAGUUUCCAGAAUGCAGUGCCAACAACAUGGCCGACGAGAACUACACUUCCCGGCCACGCUCACGUUCGCCAGAGUACUGAGUGUAAACAGCUGUACUUCAUCUUAGGUUAUAAAAGGCCUUGUUAACUUCAGAACCUCGUGAAGUAAACGCUCAGCUGUCUUACCUUUGUCGUUCACCUAGCCUUUGUCUGCGUUUCGGAUUUCUACGUUUUUUUGGAUUUACUAUCUGUAUUUGGAUUAGGUUUCCCUGCCUAGCCCAGUCUGGAUUGUUCGCCCGACCUACUGCUAUUUUCCGUGUUUCAUCUUCCGCCUGAUCCUCGCACUCUAAUUCUGUUCGUCUGUGCUUGCCUCCAACCAGGUGGUGCUAUGAUUAUAACUGAAUGUUGGCAUGUAGAUGUCUUCAGGCCAGGAUUCGUACCAAAGCAUACAUUGAAGGAAGCUCUCAAUUGGUUUCAGAGAAAAAAAUUAUGGUGUUAGAAUGGCCCAGUCAAUCACCUGACUUGAAUCCAAUUGAACAAGAUUUAAAGACAAUAUAUUUAGAAUGGGCCAAAAUCAUACCUGAAUACUGCGGUGGAUUAAUUUCUUCAUAAAGGAAGCAUCUUGAAGCUGUCAUUACAAACAAAGCUUUCUCCACUAAGUGUUAAAUAAAUUUCAGUUAGUGUGUUCAAUACUUUUUCCUGUGUCAUUCCUCUUUAUUACACAUAAUUUCAUUUAUGGACUUUAAUGUUUUGAUUUUUUUUUAUGUGUGGAUUUCUUGAGGUAAUACCAAAGUCUGGUGAAAAUUUAAUGUGAAUAGCCUCAUUGGAAAUAUAUUUACUGAAAAAAAUGUUGACGCAUUCAAUACUUAUUUCCCCCACUAUAUAUGUUGCCAGUAGGUGGCACUAUAUCUAUAACUGAUUAUUGGCAUGAAGGUGACUUCAGGCUGGGACUUUUAUCACACCUGUGAAGUUUGGAACAGAUUGGACAGUGCCUGUAUGAGUUAUAACAACUCCCUGUUUCUUGAUGAAACAGAAAUUUGUGAAACUGCCACACCCACGCUGUGCAACGAAAACACAAAAGCUUUGCAAAUUAGCAUCAUCAAGGCCUAUAGAUGAGACUGACCGAAUAUGGUGUCGAUCCAAUGAAAUCUCUAGGAGUAGUCCAUUAAAAUACGAGGCCUGGAAAUAGCUAAAUCUGAGCAAAGAUUUAAGAGAAAAAUCAAAAUGCCUGACUUCCUGUUGAGUUUUGGGUAUUAGUUUAAGAGACAUUUUGUAUGUUUUGGCAGAUUACACCUGUACCGAUUUUACAUGUAAAAGGUAGCGUGAGACUCACAUCAUUGAAAUUUUGUAGGUGGCCCUAUCGAGCCGUUUUGCCAUACUCCAUUCUAUCACCUGUAUCCGAUGUAAAUGAUCGCCACUUUUGAGGUGUGUCCAAAUUUGCCUGUUUUCGAGCAUGUUUAGGCCUCAAAAAUGUGAUUCAUUUCAUAUUGAAAUUUGUCAGGCCGCCACAGACAUGCCCUUCAAUGAAAACUCAAAAGCUUUCCAAUUUAACAUUGCCAAGGCCUUUACGUUUUUAUGAUGUUGAUCUGAUUAAAUCUCUGGGAGGAGUUUGGUAUCAUUGUUCUUGGCCUGAACCACGGAAUCUAUCAAGACCAGUCUCAUGACGGUAGGCAAAAGGAGUCAAUAGCUCUUAGUAUUUUUAGAAAUAGCAUUAUAAUUUUUGACUACAUGUUGGCACUGUCACAAAACAUUUUGAGUCCCUUCAGAGCAUCUUGCCAAAGAAACAUCCUGAGUUUCGUAAUGAUAAGGCAAGUCAUUCAUAAAAUACAGCAUUGUAUGAUUACAUUCAAAAUGGCGGACAUCCAAAAUGGUUAACAUAGGAAUUUUUCAUAUCGAUGCACUCGGUAUGCCCCACUGAAUCUAAUUUUAUGACAAACUGUUCAGAAGUUAUAAGCAAAAAUGUGCUUUUAUCAUAUCUUGUGACCAGUAGGUGGUGCUGUUCCAAAACACAGCAGGUAACCUCAGGGCAUAAUGGUGAUGACCCAUACCAAGUUUCCUCCAAGUUUAGGUUAGUUGACGUUACUUUGCUACCUCACCUCUUACGCCCCAAAGCUACCUGACUGCAUACUACUGUUGCAGGCUAGACACUAGAUCAAUCAUUAGAUGUCAACCUGCACAUCCCCUCACACAUACAAACCUAUUCCUAAUUGUGCACCCUUCUCCUGGUACAGGUGGUAUCUGUUAGUAUGCCCUGUCACAGAAAUAAACUCACAAAUGAUUGGGACCGUUCCUGAGAACACUGGGGGUCCGGGGGUAGACCCUUAAGCUGGAAAGAUAAACCAAAGCACAAUAUUGGAGUUUAUUGGAUGGAAGACUUAUUGAUCCAAUCACUCCGAUCACAUCAUUGCAUCAGAAAGAGUGCAUGACGUACACACUUUUACCCAAAUUUGGUAUUUAGCUGAUCAUGGUGCUGGGACUAAGUGCCUAAGGCGACAUGAUUUCUAUAGGUUCCACAUAACCACGCGAAGUUUUUUAGUAGACUAUUGCUGCAGAUUGGACGACAAUUAGUAGUUAAAAGCCUGUAUGCCAAGAUUUUGGUUGCCUCUGUAUCGCCUCUGUAAACCAUUCUGCAUCGCCUUUGGUCGUGAGAAUCAUUACCAACAGUGCUACCCACACAACGUAACACGUCCCCUCGUCACGCAGACACAUAAUGGUUAUUCUAUCAUUAAACACAUGCGGUCUGUGAUACGCAAUCCUCCGCAGACUAGCGAGACGGGGUUUUGAUUGGCAUGAGGGGAUGGGGCUCGUGGAUAUUAACCGUCUCUCUACCAAUAGGUGCAAUGAUUCUUCUUGUUUUGCUCAUUUUGCCUUUAUUUUUUCUCUCGUUCGGAGCAGUCUCUCAUGCUCGUUUUAAUCACUAAUGACCAAGUGCUGACGUUGACCGAUUACGAUCCCUAUGAUGACCUACCUGACUUCCUAAACCUGACUGGGUACUCGAUCCUCCCAGCGACACUGACAACCCAUUGACAUCCAUUUCAUGCCUAUUGUAAAUAUUCCUUUGAACAUGACGACUCUCAUUUCACCCUAAAUGAGCUUGCUUACCGACAGGAUACUUUAUAUCCGCAAAAACAACCUUACUUCAUUAUGUCUGUUUUUGUGAUGAUUUCAGUUGAACCGUGAAAUAUAUUAUUUAUAUUUUGUAAUGAUAAAAGGGGGAAAUGUGAUGUAAAUUUUUACUUUGUAAUACUUUUUGUUCUUGUUCAUGUUCAUCAGAGAAUAACACCUAAGGUGGUCAUGUCAUGUCAUUUAGAUUAGUACAGAAUGUUUACCUGCUUACAGAGACACAAACAUGUUUUUCUGUUAAGGGUUCGACCCUGAAACAAAGCCUGUCUGAAACAGAGCUGCCUCAAACUGCUCCUUUCGAUCCAUAGAAGUGUAUUGUGCCCUGCACUUCAUAUAUAUAGUAGAUGUUCAGCACAAGUGCCUCAGAGCGCUCUCAUUAUUCUAUCCUGCAUUCUUCUAUCCUGUAUUUAUCUUUCUGUAAUAAACCUUUUCACCUCAGAGGAUGAGUCUGUGAGUGUUGUCUAAUUUCCACGACAUCAAAUAUUUCAGGGCAUUUGUAGCAUGGUCAGUGUGUACAUACUUGUACUCAAAAUGCCCUUUACAGGUUAACUUGCAUUUCAGUUGGAUCCUUUUAAUCUUGUCAUCACAUUCAUUUCAUGGAAGAAUAUUUGACGGCUGUUGUAUUUACAGGAAAACAAACUACAGGUCUAUGGCAUCCAUGUUGUUUUCCACAAGGAAGACAGUAACUUAAAAGGAACAUUACAUGCAACAAGAUGUUGUUCCAAUGUGUUAAGAUAUCAGUUGAUUUGGAAUGUCCACCAAAUGUAUAUUGUUGGCAACACACUUCAGGAAAUUUUCCACAAAGGAUUUUUUGAUGACAUGUUAAACAUAUCCACAAUUUGCACCCUGGAGAAUAACCAGAAGAAUGUUUACACUUUAUCACAUGCAUGUACAUACCUCAGUGUGAUGCAUUUUCUCCCCAAAACAGCUAUUUGUUCUCCUCAUGAGAUAUAAUAGGCAUGUAAUUCUCCUCAAGAGAUAUAUUAAGCAUACAAUUCUCUUUACAUUAUGUAGGAACCUUUUUAUUCACAGAAUUCAGCUCAGAGUCAGGGUAUCUUCGAGAGCAAGGUUGUUGAAAGACUUUAGAAGUUUGUAUCGAACAAGGUUGUUGUGAAAUUGUAGAGCAACUUUUAAUCAGGUUGUAGAGAGACUUGAGUAAUCUAGAGAGCAACUUUCUUCUGAAAUUUUUAGAGUUUCCACCCCUUUUUUUUUUUGAAAGGAGGGGGCACAACACUCUGCAUACAGCCUCUUGGCAAGCUGAGACCUCUUCUUUGGUCAUGGCAUCUGUAACACACAAAUACAAAAAUAAAAUAUACUUAGGAGACUGAAGUUAAGAUUUUCUAAAACAACUUAAGACAGCACAAGCAGAUAACACACUCUAGGAAUUCAUACACAACAAGUGAUCCCAUAAAUGACAUUAACAUACAAGUAAGAAAAACUGAAUGAGAAAAUAUA
ensembl:lncRNA